rnacentral:rRNA from 1 species
CUGGCUCAGAGUGAACGCUGGCGGUAGGCCUAACACAUGCAAGUCGAACGGCAGCACAGGAGAGCUUGCUCUCUGGGUGGCGAGUGGCGGACGGGUGAGGAAUACAUCGGAAUCUACUCUGUCGUGGGGGAUAACGUAGGGAAACUUACGCUAAUACCGCAUACGACCUACGGGUGAAAGCAGGGGACCUUCGGGCCUUGCGCGAUUGAAUGAGCCGAUGUCGGAUUAGCUAGUUGGCGGGGUAAAGGCCCACCAAGGCGACGAUCCGUAGCUGGUCUGAGAGGAUGAUCAGCCACACUGGAACUGAGACACGGUCCAGACUCCUACGGGAGGCAGCAGUGGGGAAUAUUGGACAAUGGGCGCAAGCCUGAUCCAGCCAUACCGCGUGGGUGAAGAAGGCCUUCGGGUUGUAAAGCCCUUUUGUUGGGAAAGAAAUCCAGCUGGCUAAUACCCGGUUGGGAUGACGGUACCCAAAGAAUAAGCACCGGCUAACUUCGUGCCAGCAGCCGCGGUAAUACGAAGGGUGCAAGCGUUACUCGGAAUUACUGGGCGUAAAGCGUGCGUAGGUGGUCGUUUAAGUCCGUUGUGAAAGCCCUGGGCUCAACCUGGGAACUGCAGUGGAUACUGGGCGACUAGAAUGUGGUAGAGGGUAGCGGAAUUCCUGGUGUAGCAGUGAAAUGCGUAGAGAUCAGGAGGAACAUCCAUGGCGAAGGCAGCUACCUGGACCAACAUUGACACUGAGGCACGAAAGCGUGACAUGUUG